UAAACGGCGGCCGUAACUAUAACGGUCCUAAGGUAGCGAAAUUCCUUGUCGGGUAAGUUCCGACCUGCACGAAUGGCGUAAUGAUGGCCAGGCUGUCUCCACCCGAGACUCAGUGAAAUUGAACUCGCUGUGAAGAUGCAGUGUACCCGCGGCAAGACGGAAAGACCCCGUGAACCUUUACUAUAGCUUGACACUGAACAUUGAGCCUUGAUGUGUAGGAUAGGUGGGAGGCUUUGAAGCGUGGACGCCAGUCUGCGUGGAGCCGACCUUGAAAUACCACCCUUUAAUGUUUGAUGUUCUAACGUGGACCCGUUACCCGGGUUGCGGACAGUGUCUGGUGGGUAGUUUGACUGGGGCGGUCUCCUCCUAAAGAGUAACGGAGGAGCACGAAGGUUGGCUAAUCCUGGUCGGACAUCAGGAGGUUAGUGCAAUGGCAUAAGCCAGCUUGACUGCGAGCGUGACGGCGCGAGCAGGUGCGAAAGCAGGUCAUAGUGAUCCGGUGGUUCUGAAUGGAAGGGCCAUCGCUCAACGGAUAAAAGGUACUCCGGGGAUAACAGGCUGAUACCGCCCAAGAGUUCAUAUCGACGGCGGUGUUUGGCACCUCGAUGUCGGCUCAUCACAUCCUGGGGCUGAAGUAGGUCCCAAGGGUAUGGCUGUUCGCCAUUUAAAGUGGUACGCGAGCUGGGUUUAGAACGUCGUGAGACAGUUCGGUCCCUAUCUGCCGUGGGCGCUGGAGAACUGAGGGGGGCUGCUCCUAGUACGAGAGGACCGGAGUGGACGCAUCACUGGUGUUCGGGUUGUCAUGCCAAUGGCACUGCCCGGUAGCUAAAUGCGGAAGAGAUAAGUGCUGAAAGCAUCUAAGCACGAAACUUGCCCCGAGAUGAGUUCUCCCUGAGACUUAGAGUCUCCUGAAGGAACGUUGAAGACGACGACGUUGAUAGGCCGGGUGUGUAAGCGCAGCGAUGCGUUGAGCUAACCGGUACUAAUGAACCGUGAGGCUUAACCUUACAACGCCGAAGCUGUU
rnacentral:rRNA from 1 species